AGUGAACGCUGGCGGUAGGCCUAACACAUGCAAGUCGAACGGCAGCACAGGAGAGCUUGCUCUCUGGGUGGCGAGUGGCGGACGGGUGAGGAAUACAUCGGAAUCUACUCUGUCGUGGGGGAUAACGUAGGGAAACUUACGCUAAAACCGCAUACGACCUACGGGUGAAAGCAGGGGAUCUUCGGACCUUGCGCGAUUGAAUGAGCCGAUGUCGGAUUAGCUAGUUGGCGGGGUAAAGGCCCACCAAGGCGACGAUCCGUAGCUGGUCUGAAAGGAUGAUCAGCCACACUGGAACGAAGACACGGUCCAGACUCCUACGGGAGGCAGCAGUGGGGAAUAUUGGACAAUGGGCGCAAGCCUGAUCCAGCCAUACCGCGUGGGUGAAGAAGGCCUUCGGGUUGAAAGCCCUUUUGUUGGGAAAGAAAUCCAUCUGGUUAAUACCCGGGUGGGAUGACGGUACCCAAAGAAUAAGCACCGGCUAACUUCGUGCCAGCCGCCGCCGUAA
rnacentral:rRNA from 1 species